rnacentral:tRNA from 1 species
CGGGACGUAGCGCAACUUGGUAGCGCACUAGGCUGGGGGUCUAGUGGUUGAGGGUUCAAAUCCCUUCGUCCCGACAA